rnacentral:rRNA from 1 species
GACGAACCGUGCGACCGUUAUUCGGAAUCACUGGGCUUAAAGCGCGUGUAGGCGGGCCGGCACGUCGGUCGCUGAAAUCCCCCGGCUCAACCGGGGAAGGGGCGCCGAUACGACCGGCCUGGAGGGACGUAGGGGGGGCCGGAACUUCCGGUGGAGCGGUGAAAUGCGUUGAGAUCGGAAGGAACGCCCGUGGCGAAAGCGGGCCCCUGGACGUCUACUGACGCUGAGACGCGAAAGCCAGGGGAGCGAACGGG